rnacentral:rRNA from 1 species
CGGGGCCGCACAAGCGGUGGAGCAUGUGGUUAAUUCGAUGCAACGCGAAGAACCUUACCUGGGCUUGACAUCCCAAGAAUCCCCUGGAAACAGGGGAGUGCCUUCGGGAGCUUGGAGACAGGUGCUGCAUGGCUGUCGUCAGCUCGUGUCGUGAGAUGUUGGGUUAAGUCCCGCAACGAGCGCGACCCCUAUCUUUAGUUGCCAUCAUUGAGUUGGGCACUCUAAAGAGACUGCCGGUGUCAAACCGGAGGAAGGUGGGGAUGGCGUCAAGUCCUCAUGGCCUUUAUGACCAGGGCUACACACGUACUACAAUGGCCGGUACAAAGGGCAGCGACACAGCGAUGUGAAGCGAAUCCCGAAAAGCCGGUCUCAGUCCGGAUUGGAGUCUGCAACUCGACUCCAUGAAGUUGGAAUCGCUAGUAAUCGCGGAUCAGCACGCCGCGGUGAAUACGUUCCCGGGCCUU